CCUACGGGAGGCAGCAGUGGGGAAUAUUGGGCAAUGGGCGCAAGCCUGACCCAGCAACGCCGCGUGAAGGAAGAAGGCUUUCGGGUUGUAAACUUCUUUUAUGAGGGACGAAGGAAGUGACGGUACCUCAGGAAUAAGCCACGGCUAACUACGUGCCAGCAGCCGCGGUAAUACGUAGGUGGCGAGCGUUAUCCGGAUUUACUGGGUGUAAAGGGCGUGUAGGCGGGCUGGCAAGUCAGAUGUGAAAACUAUGGGCUCAACCCAUAGCCUGCAUUUGAAACUGGAGGUCUUGAGUGAUGGAGAGGCAGGCGGAAUUCCGUGUGUAGCGGUGAAAUGCGUAGAUAUACGGAGGAACACCAGUGGCGAAGGCGGCCUGCUGGACAUUAACUGACGCUGAGGCGCGAAAGCGUGGGGAGCAAACAGGAUUAGAUACCCGGGUAGUC
rnacentral:rRNA from 1 species